CAUGCCAAGUCGAGCGAACCGAUGGAGUGCUUGCAUUCCUGAGGUUAGCGGCGGACGGGUGAGUAACACGUAGGCAACCUGCCUGUACGACCGGGAUAACUCCGGGAAACCGGAGCUAAUACCGGAUAGGAUGCCGAACCGCAUGGUUCGGCAUGGAAAGGCCUUUGAGCCGCGUACAGAUGGGCCUGCGGCGCAUUAGCUAGUUGGUGGGGUAACGGCCUACCAAGGCGACGAUGCGUAGCCGACCUGAGAGGGUGAACGGCCACACUGGGACUGAGACACGGCCCAGACUCCUACGGGAGGCAGCAGUAGGGAAUCUUCCGCAAUGGACGAAAGUCUGACGGAGCAACGCCGCGUGAGUGAGGAAGGUCUUCGGAUCGUAAAACUCUGUUGUCAGGGAAGAACCGCCGGGAUGACCUCCCGGUCUGACGGUACCUGACGAGAAAGCCCCGGCUAACUACGUGCCAGCAGCCGCGGUAAUACGUAGGGGGCAAGCGUUGUCCGGAAUUAUUGGGCGUAAAGCGCGCGCAGGCGGCUUCUUAAGUCAGGUGUGAAAGCCCACGGCUCAACCGUGGAGGGCCAUCUGAAACUGGGGAGCUUGAGUGCAGGAGAGGAGAGCGGAAUUCCACGUGUAGCGGUGAAAUGCGUAGAGAUGUGGAGGAACACCAGUGGCGAAGGCGGCUCUCUGGCCUGUAACUGACGCUGAGGCGCGAAAGCGUGGGGAGCAAACAGGAUUAGAUACCCUGGUAGUCCACGCCGUAAACGAUGAGUGCUAGGUGUUGGGGAGUCCACCUCCUCAGUGCCGCAGCU
rnacentral:rRNA from 1 species